rnacentral:lncRNA from 1 species
CCGCGUUUGAAAGAGGUUUUAUUUACUGAUUUUUGGCGGGACAUUAAUAUCUUAUGUAACUUUAUAUCCUUCCGAACUACACUCUGCAGAAAUGUAAGCAGACUUUCUGUCCAGAAAACAUAUAAAAACACAAUAAACAAAAGCAAUACCCAUGAAGUGGUCUGGAGUUAAAAUAUGGACACAACCCUUUAGGCCUUACUUUCAGGCAAGCUAUUAUUGAA